rnacentral:rRNA from 1 species
CCGGCACGGGUGAGUAACGCGUAUGCAACUUACCUAUCAGAGGGGGAUAACCCGGCGAAAGUCGGACUAAUACCGCAUGAAGCAGGGGCCUCGCAUGGGGAUAUUUGCUAAAGAUUCAUCGCUGAUAGAUAGGCAUGCGUUCCAUUAGGCAGUUGGCGGGGUAACGGCCCACCAAACCGACGAUGGAUAGGGGUUCUGAGAGGAAGGUCCCCCACAUUGGUACUGAGACACGGACCAA